rnacentral:rRNA from 1 species
AAUCAACGCUGGCGGCGUGCCUCAGACAUGCAAGUCGAACGAUUAAAGCUCUCUUCGGAGAGUGUAUAGAGUGGCGCACGGGUGAGUAACACGUAAGUAAUCUGCCUUUGAGUGGGGAAUAACCCGGGGAAACCCGAGCUAAUACCGCAUAAUGCAGCGGCACCGCAAGGUGACAGUUGUUAAAGCGAGUAAUCGCGCUUAAAGAGGAGCUUGCGGCAGAUUAGCUAGUUGGUAAGGUAACGGCUUACCAAGGCUACGAUCUGUAUCCGGUCUAAGAGGACGGUCGGACACACUGACACUGAAUAACGGGUCAGACUCCUACGGGAGGCAGCAGUCGGGAAUUUUGGGCAGUGGGCGAAAGCCUGACCCAGCAACGCCGCGUGAAGGAUGAAGUAUUUCGGUAUGUAAACUUCGAAAGAAUAGGAAGAAUAAAUGACGGUACUAUUUAUAAGGUCCGG